UAUUAUGUUAUGUUAUAAAUUUUAUUGUGGUGAUUUAGACAGGUUGGUUGGUAGUUAAUGGAAAAGUAUAGUUCAGUGUUAAGGUAGAGGGAAGGAAAAGUAAGUAAAAGCCCCCUUUUCUCAAAAAUGAACCCUCUCCCUGACUUGCAAUUACUGAUUGCAGUUAAAUUAUUUGGUUAUAUGGGUAAAAAUAUCCUAUUUGCAGAAACUGCGUCUUUAUAUGAAAAAACACUGUGGUUUAUGCACUUUAAUAUCACCGCUAAGAGCCUGAGGAAAGGUCUUCCAUAGUAUGAUAACCUAAUUAAAAUUCCCCCUCUCUUUUAAAAUUUUGUUUGUGCACAAAGAAUGACAAACAGCCUUGAUUCGCCACAACAGCUGUGUCAAGGUAUCAGUAUGCAGUACAUGUUGCAGUAUUUGCUAGUCAGGCACUUUUUUUUUUUUUUUUUUUUUUGGAGCUAACCUUCAACCGGUGAUACAUAGAAGACUGCUUAUAUCCUGCGUCCUGUCGGGUAGGUGCUGGAUUAUUUGGGCUUAAUGGCUUGGUGGGUAUAUUCAAGCAGAAGGGACAUUAGCUAGUUGAGUAGAUGCCAGCCUUCUGGUUAUGUUAAAGGAAUACAGACAAUAUGCUAUACCCAGGGGCCCAUCUCAGUGCCAUGCUAGGGCCACAUACUAUUCCACAUAGAGUAGUGAGAGAUAUACAGUCCUGUACAGUGGCCUCAGGUCAGAGCUAUUAAAGCGCAAUUUCGGUUACGCGUCAGAGUUCAGUAGAUGCUAAAACAGUUUCUUUACUGGAUGAGUAACUAUCGCUCAGUGUAGCAUUGACGGCAUAAUUAAACAAUAUAGAUAAGAGAGAAACAAUGCUUAAACUAUGCAAGUGAUUUCAACUGUGUCAUCUAAUACAUAUAUUCUUUGCUAGUCAAGUAGGUAGGCUAGUGCAGCUUUUCAUUCACAAUGAGUUUAGGCCCUCAAACAUCCCUUCGCAGGCAGCCUGUCAAGUGUAAGCAAGCAUAUAAAAACGAUGAACUAUGCCUGCUGAAAGAGUCUCUGUUGUUCUAAAUUGACAUACUGGGUAAGCACAAAGUCCCACAUGCUGGAUCUUCAGUAUCAAGUGCCCCUGUUUUCCACUGGCUGUAAAGUGCUGUACGAUGGUCAGAGGAACGGGUCAGGAAGCAAGUAUGUUCGUGGUGGUGGGUAUUGCUUAUGACUGGCAGAGGUGUAUCAGUCCUGAACUUGGGUUGAGGUGUUCACCCUACCCCAGUAAUCGUGAACAGGUGAGUGUAUACCUGAGGGGGGCUGGGUCGGCGUGCUUUGUGGCGGCCCUCCCACCCCAGGCCAUGUGAGGGGCCAGAUUUAAAUGGACACAGACGCUGACUCUUGUCUGAGUCCAGGUCUUUCCCGUGUGCUUGCGCCUCUUGUGGCGGGGGGCUUUCCGUCGUGGUGGCCGGAGCGUGGGGUGUUCCCCCCCCCCCUGUUGGCCCUCGGCCCACCUGGUGGUGGUCUUGGGUCGUGGGUUUUGAGUGCCCGGAGGGCGUACCUGUGCCAGCUGCUCCCCUUGUUGGCUCCCCCAGGUGGUGGUCUUGGGUCGUGGGUUUUGAGUGCCCAGAGGGCGUACCUGUGCCAGCCGCUCCUUCACCCCCCCCCUUGUUGGCUCCCCCAGGUGGUGGUCUUGGGUCGUGGGUUUUGAGUGCCCGGAGGGCGUACCUGUGCCAGCCGCUCCU